rnacentral:tRNA from 1 species
GGAGAUGUAACUCAGUGGAAGAGCGUUCGUUUUGCAUAUGAAAAGCCUCGAAUUCGAUCCUAGGCAUCGCCA